rnacentral:RNase_P_RNA from 1 species
GGAGUCGGCCAGGCAGUCGCUGCAAGCUUUGCUUACAGAGGAAAGUCCGGGCUCCACAGGGCAGAGUGCCAGGUAACGCCUGGGCGGUGAAAGCCGACGGCUAGUGCCACAGAAAAUAUACCGCCGUCUUUCGGGGCGGUAAGGGUGAAAUGGUGCGGUAAGAGCGCACCGCGCCGGUGGCAACAUCGGUGGCAGGGUAAACCCCACUCGGAGCAAGACCAAAUAGGAACCCAUUGGUGCGGCCCGCACUGGGUUCGGGUAGGUUGCUUGAGGUGUUCGGUGACGGACAUCCCAGAUGAAUGGCUGUCCACGACAGAACCCGGCUUAUCGGCCGGCUCCCCAU